rnacentral:rRNA from 1 species
AGAGUUUGAUCCUGGCUCAGAACGAACGCUGGCGGCGUGUUUAAGACAUGCAAGUCGAACGGAGUGAAGUUGUAGCAAUACCGCUUCAUUCAGUGGCGCACGGGUGCGUAACACGUGAGUUACAUGCCCUGUAGUGGGGAAUAGCCCGCCGAAAGGCGGAUUAAUACCCCAUGGUCCCGCAAGGGUAAAGGUGGCGCAAGCUGCCGCUACAGGAUUGGCUCGCGGCCUAUCAGCUUGUUGGUGAGGUAACGGCUCACCAAGGCAACGACGGGUACCUGGUCUGAGAGGAUGAUCAGGCACACUGGAACUGAGACACGGUCCAGACACCUACGGGUGGCAGCAGUCGAGAAUAAUUCACAAUGGACGAAAGUCUGAUGGUGCAACGCCGCGUGGAGGAUGAAGGUCUUCGGAUUGUAAACUCCUGUCAUCGGGGAGUAAGACCUGGCGGUAAAUAGCCGACAGGGUUGAUAGUACCCGAAGAGGAAGGGACGGCUAACUUCGUGCCAGCAGCCGCGGUAAUACGAAGGUCCCAAGCGUUGUUCGGAAUCACUGGGCGUAAAGGGAGCGUAGGCGGCGUGGUAAGUCAGAUGUGAAAUCCCGGGGCUCAACCCCGGAACUGCAUCCGAUACUGCCAUGCUUGAGGGUUGGAGAGGUAGCUGGAAUUCUCGGUGUAGCAGUGAAAUGCGUGGAUAUCGAGAGGAACACUCGUGGCGAAGGCGAGCUACUGGACAACAUCUGACGCUGAGGCUCGAAGGCCAGGGGAGCAAAAGGGAUUAGAUACCCCUGUAGUCCUGGCAGUAAACGGUGUGCGCUUGGUGUGAGGGGAUUCGACCCCCCCUUGUGCCGGAGCUAACGCGUUAAGCGCACCGCCUGGGAAGUACGGCCGCAAGGCUAAAACUCAAAGAAAUUGACGGGGACCCGCACAAGCGGUGGAGUAUGUGGCUUAAUUCGAUGCAACGCGAAGAACCUUACCAAGGCUUGACAUGGAUUUCUAAGCACGUGAAAGCGUGUGACCCUUCGGGGGACUUCCACAGGUGCUGCAUGGCCGUCGUCAGCUCGUGUCGUGAGAUGUUGGGUUAAGUCCCGCAACGAGCGCAACCCCUGUGAUUAGUUGCCAGCACGUGAUGGUGGGGACUCUAAUCAGACUGCCCAGAUCAACUGGGAGGAAGGUGGGGACGACGUCAGGUCAGUAUGGCCCUUACGCCUUGGGCUGCACACGUACUACAAUGCCCAGUACAAUGAGAACCGAGACCGCGAGGUGGAGGAAAUCUACAAAACUGGGCCCAGUUCGGAUUGGAGGCUGCAACUCGCCUCCAUGAAGCCGGAAUCGCUAGUAAUGCUGCAUCAGCUACGGCAGCGUGAAUACGUUCCCGGGUCUUGUACACACCGCCCGUCACAUCAUGGAAGCCGGUAGCACCCGAAGUAUCGUACGAUCCUAAGGUGAAGCUGGUAACUGGGAUGAAGUCGUAACAAGGUAACC